rnacentral:rRNA from 1 species
CCUACGGGAGGCAGCAGUGAGGAAUAUUGGUCAAUGGACGAGAGUCUGAACCAGCCAAGUAGCGUGAAGGAUGACUGCUCUAUGGGUUGUAAACUUCUUUUAUAUGGGAAUAAAACAGGGUAUGUAUACCCUCUUGUAUGUACCAUAUGAAUAAGGAUCGGCUAACUCCGUGCCAGCAGCCGCGGUAAUACGGAGGAUUCGAGCGUUAUCCGGAUUUAUUGGGUUUAAAGGGAGCGUAGGUGGAUUGUUAAGUCAGUUGUGAAAGUUUGCGGCUCAACCGAAAAACUGCAGUUGAGACUGGCAGUCUUGAGUACAGUAGAGGUAGGCGGAAUUCAUGGUGUAGCGGUGAAAUGCAUAGAGAUCACAAAGAACACCGAUUGCGAAGGCAGCUCACUGGACUGCAACUGACACUGAUGCUCGAAAGUGUGGGUAGCAAACAGGAUUAGAUACCCCAGUAGUC